rnacentral:snoRNA from 1 species
GCAUCAUUCGAAGCAGGAUCCACGCUAUUUCAGGUCGCGGUCCCUGUCAAAAACGAUGCAAUAUCGACACGGUCUCAUUAUAGGCACAUGGGGCUCUCGCCACCCCACUGCGCUGUCGGAGGGGCCACACAGUC